GAUGAACGCUGGCGGCGUGCCUAAUACAUGCAAGUCGAGCGAACAGACGAGGAGCUUGCUCCUCUGACGUUAGCGGCGGACGGGUGAGUAACACGUGGAUAACCUACCUAUAAGACUGGGAUAACUUCGGGAAACCGGAGCUAAUACCGGAUAAUAUAUUGAACCGCAUGGUUCAAUAGUGAAAGACGGUUUUGCUGUCACUUAUAGAUGGAUCCGCGCCGCAUUAGCUAGUUGGUAAGGUAACGGCUUACCAAGGCAACGAUGCGUAGCCGACCUGAGAGGGUGAUCCGCCACACUGGAACUGAGACACGGUCCAGACUCCUACGGGAGGCAGCAGUAGGGAAUCUUCCGGAAUGGGCGAAAGCUUGACGGAGCAACGCCGCGUGAGUGAUGAAGGUCUUCGGAUCGUAAAACUCUGUUAUUAGGGAAGAACAAAUGUGUAAGUAACUAUGCACGUCUUGACGGUAACUAAUCAGAAAGCCACGGCUAACUACGUG
rnacentral:rRNA from 1 species